AUGUAGUCAUCACUGUGGGA
rnacentral:misc_RNA from 1 species